rnacentral:rRNA from 1 species
GAUGAACGCUGGCGGCGUGCUUAACACAUGCAAGUCGAACGAUGAAGCCCAGCUUGCUGGGUGGAUUAGUGGCGAACGGGUGAGUAACACGUGAGUAACCUGCCCUUAACUCUGGGAUAAGCCUGGGAAACUGGGUCUAAUACCGGAUAGGAGCGUCCACCGCAUGGUGGGUGUUGGAAAGAUUUAUCGGUUUUGGAUGGACUCGCGGCGUAUCAGCUUGUUGGUGAGGUAAUGGCUCACCAAGGCGACGACGGGUAGCCGGCCUGAGAGGGUGACCGGCCACACUGGGACUGAGACACGGCCCAGACUCCUACGGGAGGCAGCAGUGGGGAAUAUUGCACAAUGGGCGCAAGCCUGAUGCAGCGACGCCGCGUGAGGGAUGACGGCCUUCGGGUUGUAAACCUCUUUCAGUAGGGAAGAAGCGAAAGUGACGGUACCUGCAGAAGAAGCACCGGCUAACUACGUG